rnacentral:RNase_P_RNA from 1 species
CGAGUUGGUCGGAUGGUCGCUGCUUUUGCAGAGGAAAGUCCGGACUUCAUAGAGCAGGAUGCCAGGUAACUCCUGGGAGGCGUGAGCCUACGGAAAGUGCAACAGAAAAUAUACCGCCNUAGGGUAAGGUUGAAAAGGUGAGGUAAGAGCUCACCGCAUCAGUGGUAACANUGAUGGCAGUGUAAACCCCAUCCGAAGCAAGACCAAAUAGGAAUCUUAUUGAUUGCUCAUCANAGAUUCGGGUAGGUUGCUAGAGCAUUAUGGCGACAUAAUGUCGAGAUAGAUGGCCAUCUAGACAGAAUCCGGCUUACAGACCAACUCAUUUG